GACGAACGCUGGCGGCGUGCUUAACACAUGCAAGUCGAGCGGUAAGGCUCCUUCGGGAGUACACGAGCGGCGAACGGGUGAGUAACACGUGAGCAACCUGCCCUUCUCAUCGGAAUAAGCGUUGGAAACGACGUCUAAUGCCGAAUAUGACAACGGAUCGCAUGAUCUGUUGUGGAAAGCUCCGGCGGAGAAGGAUGGGCUCGCGGCCUAUCAGCUUGUUGGUGGGGUAACGGCCCACCAAGGCGACGACGGGUAGCCGGCCUGAGAGGGUGACCGGCCACACUGGGACUGAGACACGGCCCAGACUCCUACGGGAGGCAGCAGUGGGGAAUAUUGGACAAUGGGCGCAAGCCUGAUCCAGCAACGCCGCGUGAGGGAUGACGGCCUUCGGGUUGUAAACCUCUUUUAGUAGGGAAGAAGCGAAAGUGACGGUACCUGCAGAAAAAGCACCGGCUAACUACGUGCCAGCCGCCGCCGUAAGAC
rnacentral:rRNA from 1 species